GGGGAAUAUUGGACAAUGGGGGCAACCCUGAUCCAGCCAUGCCGCGUGUGUGAAGAAGGCCUUCGGGUUGUAAAGCACUUUUGUUGGGGAAGAAACCGGCCGGGUUAAUACCCUGGUUGAAUGACGGUACCCAAAGAAUAAGCACCGGCUAACUUCGUGCCAGCAGCCGCGGUAAUACGAAGGGUGCAAGCGUUACUCGGAAUUACUGGGCGUAAAGCGUGCGUAGGCGGUUUGUUAAGUCUGCUGUGAAAGCCCUGGGCUCAACCUGGGAACUGCAGUGGAUACUGGCGAGCUAGAGUGUGUCAGAGGAUGGUGGAAUUCCCGGUGUAGCGGUGAAAUGCGUAGAGAUCGGGAGGAACACCAGUGGCGAAGGCGGCCAUCUGGGACAACACUGACGCUGAGGCACGAAAGCGUGGGGAGCAAAC
rnacentral:rRNA from 1 species